rnacentral:lncRNA from 1 species
CUCAAUAUCCAGGGACAGCUUCACGCUCAAAAGCUCUUGGUACUCGCGCAGCAUCCGUGCCAGCUCCUCCUUGGCCUGCUGCAGGGCGCCCUCCAGCUCAUCCAGCUUGGCCCUGGCAUCCUUGAGGGCACAGUCCCCCCGCUGCUCGGCGUCAGCGAUGGCCGUCUCCAGGUUGGCACACUGGGGUCAGGAGGUAGCAUUUCUCCCUGAGUUCCUCCCUGGGCCUCGCUUCACCUCUCCCAUGCUCUCAAUGGUUGAGCCCUCCUCUGUCCUGCCCCAUGUCCUGGAGCAGAGACCCAGCCACAUCCAGGUGGAGUCCUGUCAACCUGAGACUGAGAGGCUUGCUACGCUGGGCCCCACAGCUUUAUGAAAAUAAUCUGCAAUUGUUCCAAACUUCAGAUGGGAGCUAAGGGUGAGGGAUGAGAGCAGGACCUCCAUUUGAAGAAGGGGAUUCUGAAAUGGAUGCUCAAGAGAAGGAGGGGGCAGGGGGUGCUAAGCAGUUCACCCCUCCCUUAGGAGUGAGUAAGGAAGGCUCCAGUCCCCUUCACCUGCUUCUUCACACUCUCAAUCUCCGAGCGCAGUCUUUGGAUGAGACGGGUCAGCUCUGAGAUCUCAUUUUUGGUGUGUUUCAGGUCAUCCCCAUGCCGGCCGGCUGCUAGCUGCAGCUCCUGGAACUAGAGGAAAAGGAACCAAAGCAAGAACACUGACUCAGGGCUUGGCUGGGAUCAGCCUGGUACAGAGACUGUGCCUGCACUUGCAGAGCCUGGCAGAGUCACAGAGAGUACAUCAGUUCUACUCAGAAUGUGGCUCAAGGGGAAAACAAAACAGGGACCCUUCAGCACUCUGGUGUACUGCUCUGUCUCUGUCACUGGGUGCUCCACCCCAGCAUGGCCCAAGAUUUAGGAUUGUUCCUAAAGAUGUCAAGUUAUCCAGAAAGCAGAGAAGGCAGAAGGGCUUCUCUCUUCACUCCUUGUAUUUUAUCUUUGGUGCCAACCCUAAACAAGGGGCCUUCUCCUGCUUCUCCGCAAGGCUGUGUGAGCAGGAUGCCUCCCCGUACACUGGUUCUGACACCAAGCAGCUUCAUUCUGAGGCAAACAGAUGAACAUCUUCCUGCCACUCCUCUGUCAAGCCACACAAAGCCCUUAGAGUAAAUGCUUCUUUCCCAGAGUCACCUUCUGAUUUUCUGCCUAAAUGCAGUGGAAUUUGAAGUCAGUCACCUAGAUUCUGAUCCAGCUGCGUCACUUGUCAGCUAUUGCCUUUGUGCCCAGGAGAGUGCUGUGCUCCCAGCAAGCUAUGGGCCACCACAGUGAGUCAUGGGGCAGACAAGACAGAGUCUGGAGCAGAGGGCCCUGCAUACUUCACUAUGGGGAGUUUUGCGGCCUCACCUUGGUCUGGUACAGGGCCUCGGCCUCGGCCUUGCUCUUCCGGGCGAUCUCCUCAUACUGGGCACGGACCUCAGCAAUGAUGCUGUCCAGGUCCAGGUUCCGGUUGUUGUCCAUGGACAGGAUGAUGGACGUGUCGCUGAUGUGGGACUGGAUCUGAGCAGUCUCCUGCAGGGGAAACAAGGAAGCAUGAAAUGCCUUCUGUGACCAGAGAAAGGUCCCAAGGUGAUGGCCCUGUCCCAGAGGGAUGGCCCUAGACCAUCCCACACAGAUGGAAGCUGCACUUCCCAAAGCUUGUAAGAACAGAGCUCACAGCCCAGAGGUUCCAAUACCACAUCUGAAAACUGCUGAAUGGGUUUGAAGCAGCCCAGGAAGAAAACAGCCCAUAUGUCUGUCCCCUGAGACAGGACAGGAGUGGGGAAGGUGGAAGACAACAGCCUGGCUGCCACACAUGGGACACUAAGGGGCACAGGAGCCCAGAAAUGCUUGGCCAAUAGGUUGAGGCUUGAAACCAGAUGUACAUAGAGAAGGCAGAAGGGGUAUGAGGACUUCCUACCUCUAUCCCUGGGGAUUCCUGCCCAAGACCCCAGGAAACAUCCCCAGCCACAGAGAGAAGAGAAGCAGGAAUGAGAAUAUGCUUGGCUGAAGUUCAGUGGGAACCCUUUAAGGACUCUGUUUUCCUGGAGGAAGUGAAAGCAGGACAUCCUCAGGGCAGUCAGGGAUGGAUGGGGCACCAGGAUAGAUGGCCACUCCCACCUUUGAUCUACAAAUUUCUCAGCACCCCAAUGCUGGAGGUGCCCUGGACUGCUUAAGUUACAGAUAAGUAAGAAACUGUUCAUCACAUAUCUGUCCUUCCAGAAGACAGAGCCAGAGGUGGGGCAGGGGGAGCCUUACCCCCUCGUACAGACACUUGAAGAACUUGAUUUCUCCAUCCAGGGCAUCCACCUUGGCCUGCAGCUCCACUUUGCUCGUGUAAGCUGCGUCCACGUCCUAUGGAGAAUCCAGAUACCCCUGACCUCACCUUUCUUCAAGCCCAGACAGGCCUCUCCAGCGAACUGACACCUGCAGGCCCUGCCCUAGCUAGCUGCCCAGGACUUCAGAUCCAAGGGGCAGGAACCGGCCUUCCAGCCACAACUUCACUGUCAGACUCACUGCGAAACCUGGGGCAAGUUUCUCAUGCCUCUGGAACUCCUUCUGCCUCUAUUUCUCAGAGAAGGGUGUGAGACUCUAUACCCCACUCAGCCAGUCAUUCAGCCAACAGAGGGAGGCAAGGACAGCCACGGCGAUUUGCCAGAAACUAGCAGAGUUGGAAGGCAAACCUGCAGCCCCUCCCAAAGCCUGUCCUGUUCCCCAGCCAGAGGGGACAUGAGUUGGGACUGACUAUCCACAUCUAGGUUCCUGUCCACAGACAAAGUACUGUGUGCUAAACCAACACCAGGUGUCCCAAAAUGUCCCAAGCAGCAAGCCCUUCAUCUCCUCCUUCAGCACUUUGGCUCCAGGCCCUUCUGCGGGGGGCUCAGACCUCAGCUGCUCCUCUCUCUUAGCCCAGCACCCACUGCUGGGGGACUGAAGGGAACCCAUGCACCCUCCUCACCUUCUUAAGCACCACAAAUUCAUUCUC